CGACUACAUUAGAUACCCGUGUAGUCCUAGCCGUAAACGAUACUCGCUAGGUGUCGGCCACGGUGCGACCGUUGUCGGUGCCGUAGGGAAGCCGUGAAGCGAGCCACCUGGGAAGUACGGCCGCAAGGCUGAAACUUAAGGGAAUCGGCGGGGGAGCACCACAACGGGUGGAGCUUGCGGUUUAAUUGGAUUCAACGCCGGAAAUCUUACCGGGACCGACAGCAACAUGAAGGCCAGGCUGAAGACUUUGCCGGAUUAGCUG
rnacentral:rRNA from 1 species